AGUGAACGCUGGCGGCAGGCCUAACACAUGCAAGUCGAGCGGCAGCGCGGGGGCAACCCUGGCGGCGAGCGGCGGACGGGUGAGGAAUGCAUCGGAAUCUACCCUGUCGUGGGGGAUAACGUAGGGAAACUUACGCUAAUACCGCAUACGACCGAGAGGUGAAAGUGGGGACCGCAAGGCCUCACGCGAUUGGAUGAGCC
rnacentral:rRNA from 1 species